CUUAUUUUUUUAAAAAAAGAUGUUGCUGCUUUUUUGUUCUCUGCUAGGCUUUUAUACCCUGUUUCAGUCGCCACCCGUCUGCCGCGGUUCCACCGCGAUCAAUGACCGGAGGCAUGCCGAGUUGGGCUUUUAACCCCUUUUUGGAGCAGAUCCGAGGGCAAAGGAGCAUGCUUGGAGGGGGCGCACGCGCGCGGAGGCACCGCACGCGGGGGCCUGGGUUCGACACCGGCGCAGAGGCAGAAAGCUGCUGCUGCUAGGAUUUUUUGUUUUGUUUUGGGCUAGUGGGCUAGGGUUUGGCAUUUGGGCCACUGUAAUUGGAUAGUGAAUUUGGGCUUUAAGUUUGGGUUUGUAAAAAAAACUGGACUGUUUUAUUAUUUUGAUUUUUUGAUUUUUUUGUGCUUAUUUAAUUGAGUCCGGGCAAAAUUGGGUAUUACACCUACAUUUUGUUAACUAGUAGAAUGAAGUUUCGCCAUGGGAAAGUUGCCUUUGGAAAAUGAUCGAUGACGCUGUCAGAAUUGCAAAUUAUGUAGUAAAUAUGAUUAUUGAUUCAUGUUUACAA